GGUUAAGCGACUAAGCGUACACGGUGGAUGCCCUGGCAGUCAGAGGCGAUGAAGGGCGUGCUAAUCUGCGAUAAGCGCCGGUAAGGUGAUAUAUGAAAUAACGUUAUAACCGGCGAUACCCGAAUGGGGAAACCCAGUGUGAUUCGUCACACUAUCAUUAACUGAAUCCAUAGGUUAAUGAGGCGAACCGGGGGAACUGAAACAUCUAAGUACCCCGAGGAAAAGAAAUCAACCGAGAUUCCCCCAGUAGCGGCGAGCGAACGGGGAGGAGCCCAGAGCCUGAAUCAGCAUGUGUGUUAGUGGAAGCGUCUGGAAAGGCGCGCGAUACAGGGUGACAGCCCCGUACACAAAAGCGCAUAUGCUGUGAGCUCGAUGAGUAGGGCGGGACACGUGGUAUCCUGUCUGAAUAUGGGGGGACCAUCCUCCAAGGCUAAAUACUCCUGACUGACCGAUAGUGAACCAGUACCGUGAGGGAAAGGCGAAAAGAACCCCGGCGAGGGGAGUGAAAAAGAACCUGAAACCGUGUACGUACAAGCAGUGGGAGCACCCUUUGGGGUGUGACUGCGUACCUUUUGUAUAAUGGGUCAGCGACUUAUAUUCUGUAGCAAGGUUAACCGAAUAGGGGAGCCGGAGGGAAACCGAGUCUUAAUUGGGCGUUAAGUUGCAGGGUAUAGACCCGAAACCCGGUGAUCUAGCCAUGGGCAGGUUGAAGGUUGGGUAACACUAACUGGAGGACCGAACCGACUAAUGUUGAAAAAUUAGCGGAUGACCUGUGGCUGGGGGUGAAAGGCCAAUCAAACCGGGAGAUAGCUGGUUCUCCCCGAAAGCUAUUUAGGUAGCGCCUCGUGAAUUCAUCUCCGGGGGUAGAGCACUGUUUCGGCUAGGGGGCCAUCCCGGCUUACCAACCCGAUGCAAACUGCGAAUACCGGAGAAUGUUAUCACGGGAGACACACGGCGGGUGCUAACGUCCGUCGUGAAGAGGGAAACAACCCAGACCGCCAGCUAAGGUCCCAAAGUCAUGGUUAAGUGGGAAACGAUGUGGGAAGGCCCAGACAGCCAGGAUGUUGGCUUAGAAGCAGCCAUCAUUUAAAGAAAGCGUAAUAGCUCACUGGUCGAGUCGGCCUGCGCGGAAGAUGUAACGGGGCUAAACCAUGCACCGAAGCUGCGGCAGCGACACUAUGUGUUGUUGGGUAGGGGAGCGUUCUGUAAGCCUGUGAAGGUGGCCUGUGAGGGUUGCUGGAGGUAUCAGAAGUGCGAAUGCUGACAUAAGUAACGAUAAAGCGGGUGAAAAGCCCGCUCGCCGGAAGACCAAGGGUUCCUGUCCAACGUUAAUCGGGGCAGGGUGAGUCGACCCCUAAGGCGAGGCCGAAAGGCGUAGUCGAUGGGAAACGGGUUAAUAUUCCCGUACUUGGUGUUACUGCGAAGGGGGGACGGAGAAGGCUAUGUUGGCCGGGCGACGGUUGUCCCGGUUUAAGCGUGUAGGUGUGUGUUCCAGGUAAAUCCGGUUCACUUUAACACUGAGGCGUGAUGACGAGGCACUACGGUGCUGAAGCAACAAAUGCCCUGCUUCCAGGAAAAGCCUCUAAGCAUCAGGUAACAUCAAAUCGUACCCCAAACCGACACAGGUGGUCAGGUAGAGAAUACCAAGGCGCUUGAGAGAACUCGGGUGAAGGAACUAGGCAAAAUGGUGCCGUAACUUCGGGAGAAGGCACGCUGACAUGUAGGUGAAGUGAUUUACUCACGGAGCUGAAGUCAGUCGAAGAUACCAGCUGGCUGCAACUGUUUAUUAAAAACACAGCACUGUGCAAACACGAAAGUGGACGUAUACGGUGUGACGCCUGCCCGGUGCCGGAAGGUUAAUUGAUGGGGUCAGCGCAAGCGAAGCUCCUGAUCGAAGCCCCGGUAAACGGCGGCCGUAACUAUAACGGUCCUAAGGUAGCGAAAUUCCUUGUCGGGUAAGUUCCGACCUGCACGAAUGGCGUAAUGAUGGCCAGGCUGUCUCCACCCGAGACUCAGUGAAAUUGAACUCGCUGUGAAGAUGCAGUGUACCCGCGGCAAGACGGAAAGACCCCGUGAACCUUUACUAUAGCUUGACACUGAACAUUGAGCCUUGAUGUGUAGGAUAGGUGGGAGGCUUUGAAGUGUGGACGCCAGUCUGCAUGGAGCCGGCCUUGAAAUACCACCCUUUAAUGUUUGAUGUUCUAACGUGGACCCGUGAUCCGGGUUGCGGACAGUGUCUGGUGGGUAGUUUGACUGGGGCGGUCUCCUCCUAAAGAGUAACGGAGGAGCACGAAGGUUGGCUAAUCCUGGUCGGACAUCAGGAGGUUAGUGCAAUGGCAUAAGCCAGCUUGACUGCGAGCGUGACGGCGCGAGCAGGUGCGAAAGCAGGUCAUAGUGAUCCGGUGGUUCUGAAUGGAAGGGCCAUCGCUCAACGGAUAAAAGGUACUCCGGGGAUAACAGGCUGAUACCGCCCAAGAGUUCAUAUCGACGGCGGUGUUUGGCACCUCGAUGUCGGCUCAUCACAUCCUGGGGCUGAAGUAGGUCCCAAGGGUAUGGCUGUUCGCCAUUUAAAGUGGUACGCGAGCUGGGUUUAGAACGUCGUGAGACAGUUCGGUCCCUAUCUGCCGUGGGCGCUGGAGAACUGAGGGGGGCUGCUCCUAGUACGAGAGGACCGGAGUGGACGCAUCACUGGUGUUCGGGUUGUCAUGCCAAUGGCACUGCCCGGUAGCUAAAUGCGGAAGAGAUAAGUGCUGAAAGCAUCUAAGCACGAAACUUGCCCCGAGAUGAGUUCUCCCUGAGACUUAGAGUCUCCUGAAGGAACGUUGAAGACGACAACGUUGAUAGGCCGGGUGUGUAAGCGCAGCGAUGCGUUGAGCUAACCGGUACUAAUGAACCGUGAGGCUUAACCUU
rnacentral:rRNA from 1 species